UGGCUGGAUUUGUUUGCAACAGCUGCAUGAGGAGUUGCCAAAUGUGUUUUCAUCUCCCUGGAUAUUUCCAUGAAAUUUGAACUGCCGUUGCUAAGGAGAUAAUCCAUUUCUGCUGAUUAGUCAUCCUCUGCUGUCAUAAGUGGCUUUACAGCAGAACUGUUCAUAUAGUCACUGGUUCUGAUGUCACAAAGACUGGGGUUCCACAACAGAGCAAGUAGAAGGUAAUGGAAAGCCUACAUAUACUGGGAAAACCGUCAGAGAAAUUUCUGUGUCCUUCAUAAAUCAGGGAAUGUAGGGAACUGACCUCAAUGGCAUGAUUAUGGAUAUUCAGUAGAUGUUUUCUGAAAGUAUAUAACACCUCAGUUCUUUCGGAUAAAAGGCAGUAGCUAAUCAGAAAGUGUAUUCCAAAAAGCUGUUAUUGAUCUGAAUAAACAUUAAA
rnacentral:lncRNA from 1 species